rnacentral:rRNA from 1 species
GACAGAGGUCCCGAGCGUUAGGCGGAAUCACUGGGCUUAAAGCGUGUGUAGGCGGAUCGUUAAGUGCCUUGUGAAAUCCCAUGGCUUAACCAUGGAACUGCUUGGCAUACUGGCGGUCUUGAGCCACUUGGGGGGCAACCGGAACAAAUGGUGGAGCGGUGAAAAUGCGUAGAUAUCAUUUGGAACGCCAAUGGUGAAAACAGGUUGCUGGGAGUGAUGCUGACGCUGAGACACGAAAGCCAGGGGAGGCGAACGGG